CUCGUGGAUAAGUCGAGGGUAAAACUUGGGGCUAUGAAAUUCUGUGAUUUUUAUAAUUAUAUACACACACACUCAUACAAACACACACUCUGCAUUAUAUAUACACACACUCAUACAAACACACACUCUGCAUUAUAUAUACACACACUCAUACAAACACACAUUCUGCAUUAUAUACACACACACACUCAUACAAACACACACUGCAUUAUAUACACACACUCUGUGUAUAUAAUGCAGAGUGUGUAUAUAAUAAAGAGU